AGAGUUUGAUCCUGGCUCAGGACGAACGCUGGCGGCGCGCCUAACACAUGCAAGUCGAACGAGCGAGAGAGAGCUUGCUUUCUCAAGCGAGUGGCGAACGGGUGAGUAACGCGUGAGGAACCUGCCUCAAAGAGGGGGACAACAGUUGGAAACGACUGCUAAUACCGCAUAAGCCCACAGGUCGGCAUCGACCAGAGGGAAAAGGAGCAAUCCGCUUUGAGAUGGCCUCGCGUCCGAUUAGCUAGUUGGUGAGGUAACGGCCCACCAAGGCAACGAUCGGUAGCCGGACUGAGAGGUUGAACGGCCACAUUGGGACUGAGACACGGCCCAGACUCCUACGGGAGGCAGCAGUGGGGAAUAUUGCACAAUGGGGGAAACCCUGAUGCAGCGACGCCGCGUGGAGGAAGAAGGUCUUCGGAUUGUAAACUCCUGUUGUUGAGGAAGAUAAUGACGGUACUCAACAAGGAAGUGACGGCUAACUACGUGCCAGCAGCCGCGGUAAAACGUAGGUCACAAGCGUUGUCCGGAAUUACUGGGUGUAGAGGGAGCGCAGGCGGGAAGACAAGUUGGAAGUGAAAUCUAUGGGCUCAACCCAUAAACUGCUUUCAAAACUGUUUUUCUUGAGUAGUGCAGAGGUAGGCGGAAUUCCCGGUGUAGCGGUGGAAUGCGUAGAUAUCGGGAGGAACACCAGUGGCGAAGGCGGCCUACUGGGCACCAACUGACGCUGAGGCUCGAAAGUGUGGGUAGCAAACAGGAUUAGAUACCCUGGUAGU
rnacentral:rRNA from 1 species